rnacentral:rRNA from 1 species
UGAGUAACACGUAUCCAACCUGCCGUCUACUCUUGGACAGCCUUCUGAAAGGAAGAUUAAUACAAGAUGGCAUCAUGAGUCCGCAUGUUCACAUGAUUAAAGGUAUUCCGGUAGACGAUGGGGAUGCGUUCCAUUAGAUAUAGGCGGGGUAACGGCCCACCUAGUCUUCGAUGGAUAGGGGUUCUGAGAGGAAGGUCCCCCACAUUGGAACUGAGACACGGUCCAA